rnacentral:lncRNA from 1 species
AGCUGAGAAGAGGUCUUCUGCCUGCCAAGAGCCCAUGUCUCAAGUUGUUGCAGUAUUGUUCCCCUCAAACCUGUGGAGACAAGAUUUCUUAAAUAUGGCCAUGGCCCUCAAGAAAGAAGCCGAGACCAGAGACUGCGGAUGUUCAUUCGUGUUCGGGCAAAGAUAGGCCAGCCUUAACAAGCUGGGCUUCAGAUUGAGUCACCCCAUGCAACAAGCAGUCCCUACAGGGACCGUGAAAAGGUUCUCUGGAGCACAAGUGUAACUCGGUGCCACCACCUUUCUCCUGCAGCUUGUCUACCUACUCUGCUAACCAGGUGGGUCAAAGAAGGCAAAGGGAAA